UGUAUUGAAUUUGCCAUAGCUCACCAUCGCCAGCUAGUGUCACAUUUGUAUAAUGCACUUUAAAAGGUAAAGGGACCCCUGGUCAUUAGGUCCAGUUGUGGCUGAUUCUGGGGUUGUGGUGCUCAUCUCGCUUUAUUGGCCAAGGGAGCCGGCGUACAGCUUCUGGGUCAUGUGGCCAGCAUGACUAAGCCACUUCUGGCGAACCAGAGCAGCGCACGGAAACGCCGUUUACCUUCCCGCCGGAACGGUACCUAUUUAUCUACUUGCACUUUGACGUGCUUUCGAACUGCUAGGUUGGCAGGAGCAGGGACCGAGCAAUGGGAGCUCACUCCGUCACGGGGAUUCGAACCGCUGACCUUCUGAUCGGCAAGUCCAAGGCUCUGUGAUUUAACCCACAGUGCCACCCGCGUCCCAUAAUGCACUUUACACAACACUUAAAACAUUCUUGUGUAUUUCUAGUGAGCAGAGUCCUCUCUUAACUUUCAAGUUCAGGCGGGUUGAGGGAGAUGACUGAAAAUGUAGCUGAGAGAUAGAAAUAACAGAAUACCCUAAGGGCGUAUAAUGGGCCACGUGCUCUAUUUAAUAGAUUUUCUAAUGAUCUGCAAAAAGGGUGGGGAAGGGAAGGAGGAUGGUGAUUAAGUGAAAUUUCCAGGUAAUGCAAAAAAAAAAAACCAAAAAAAACCAACAGCUGGGAUGCCAGCCAGGCAGGAGAGAGAUAGCGAAGCACACUUUAUGAAAAGGAACUGAGAAAUAAUAAUUUUUGUAUUGAAGGGGACAGUUGUGGUGGGUAGGACAGGAAGUACAAUUGCCUCCUCCUGUUUCCAUUGGAAAUAUUGCAUUAUUUACAUGCUCUGGUUGUGGUUCACUACAUUGGAUGUGCUGUAGUUCAGUGGGAGAGCAUCUGCUUUACAGGCCAGAGGAUCCCAGGUUCAAUCCCCAGUAUCUCCAGAGGCUUCCUAAUGGAUAGAAGCAGCAGGAAAGCGAAGAAGCCUACUACAGGCACAACAGAGCAGGCUGGUACAGAGAAGCUAACAGAAGAGGAGAAGGCACCCAGGAAAGAAGUGGAUAAUGUACUGCAGGGCGAAUUGGCGAAGCUCUUAGCUGAGAAGCAGGAGGAGGCGGAAAGUCCAGCAUUUCAAGGUGAAGUACAGAAAGGCAAGGCGACAGAGAAGUCCAAGGAAAGGAAGGGAGGCCUAGCAUUGCAGAAUGAAGUAGAGAAAGCCCAGACAAAGUCCAAGGCUGAUACGGCGCGUGAAUCACCUCAGCGUGAAGUAGGAAAAGCCUCGGCAAAGAGAAGGUCCAAGGCGGAAAGCGAGCCUUCCUCAUCGUGGGAUGAAGCAGGGAAAGGCAGGGUGAGGGAGAUGUCCAAGCAGGGAAUGGAGGAAGAGAACACCCAGGAGGAAACUGAGGAAACUGAGACCCAGGAAAGCAGGGACAGUGAAUCACCGCAGGCUGAAGCAGAGGAAUCCUCAGAGAAGGUCACUUGGAAACAAGGCUCUUUAUCAAGCAAAGAGGAGGAGGAGAUGAAGGAGGAGGAGGGACCAUCUAGUGCUGGAAGCCUGUGGGCUAAACACAAAGAGAAAAUAAUAGAGAUCGGAGAGAAACCGCUGGAGGAAAUUGGACCACCUGGUUACUUUGCUAAGUUAACUCAGAGAAUCAUGCGGGAUCUUCCUACUUUCCAGAAGAAAUUGAAAGCUUCAGAUGUGCCAGAAAAGUAUAAGAGAAAGAAUAUGCAUCCAAGGUUAGCUAAACUGCUCAGCUCUGAGCCGCCCAGCACCCAGCAAAUGAAAACGAGGCAUCAGCUGUCCCUGAAAGACUCAAGGUUAACUCAGAUCCUGAGCCAGGAUUUAUCUGACGAUGAGGAAGAGAAGGAUGAGUCAAAGAAAACGGACCUCCAUUCUUCAAGUAGCAAGACAGUGCCCUUUGAGACCUCUCCUGGGGGAAAAAGGAAGCCUGAAGCAGCUGCAAAGGAUGGCACAGAGAAGGGUGAAUCCUUGCCUUCAACUGUAGGAAGCUCUGUCUGGAACAUGGGGCAAAAAAUAAGCCACUGGAAGGUGGCCCACCAACAUGGGUAUCACGUGGGCCAGCUUACUCAGGAUAAAAUUUACAAGCAAAGGCUAGUGAAACAUGAGCGGGACAGCAAAAUAGCUAUGCCCAUGCCACUGCAGGAAGUGAUGGAGGAAGAAGUGUUUGACAUCUUAGUGGAAACCCUGUUUGACUACCACAAAAAAUUAGGAUCAGAGCACCCUCUCACCAUCCAGAUGGAGCAGCAGGUGGAACACCUUCACCUCCAGUUGCAGGGAAGAAGAGUUCUUUGAGUGAAGAUGCUGUGCAAACGACAUCCCUCCUACCCUUUGCCCACCAGUACCUUGAAACCACCUUGAGAACAAGUAAAUGU
ensembl:lncRNA